rnacentral:rRNA from 1 species
GAUGAACGCUAGCUACAGGCUUAACACAUGCAAGUCGAGGGGUAGCAGGGUAGCAAUACCGCUGACGACCGGCGCACGGGUGAGUAACACGUAUCCAACCCUUCCCAUGACGUCGGGGAUAGUCCUUUACGAAAGAAAGAUUAAUACCCGAUAGUUACUUUUUGAGGCAUCUUGAGAAAGUUAAAGAUUUAUCGGUUAUGGAUGGGGAUGCGUUCCAUUAGAUUGUUGGUGAGGUAACGGCUCACCAAGUCUUCGAUGGAUAGGGGUUCUGAGAGGAAGGUCCCCCACAUUGGUACUGAGACACGGACCAAACUCCUACGGGAGGCAGCAGUGAGGAAUAUUGGUCAAUGGGCGAGAGCCUGAACCAGCCAAGUAGCGUGAAGGAUGAAGGUCCUAUGGAUUGUAAACUUCUUUUAUAGUAGAAUAAAGUGAUCCACGUGUGGAUUUUUGUAUGUAUACUGUGAAUAAGGAUCGGCUAACUCCGUG